ACCCCGACAGUCAGACUGCAAAUCUGCGCCAGGCCCUUUGCCCGGGGUU
rnacentral:tRNA from 1 species